GAGGGAUUUAUAUUGCAGAUUUGGAAAAAAACAAACAAGCAGUUUUUUCUCCAAAAUCUCAUUGUAUGUGAUUUUGUGUACAGGAAGCAGUUUCUUUUAUUUGUAAAGCAAUGUGCUGUUGGCUGAAUGGAGAGUGAAAAGGCCAACGUGGAAGAAUCGGUCUUUAGGUGUAAUGCUAAAAGCUGAGGCACGUUUAUCCCUGAAGGUCUCAGGUUCUGAAUGCACUACAGGCAUCUGACAAAACUGAAUAAUUAAAGGCAGUCCUAAUGGCUUAUUUUCUCCUAGCUAUUUAAAUCUUUCACGAGCCUGUCAGUUACAAGCAUCAAGAACAGAACAUUGCCUGUAGUUGUAAGGAAUAUUUGCAUCACAGGGAGAAUGAUUACCUGGUUAUACAUCUGCUAAGCACUACGGUUCUCAUAUGGGAAGGCAUGCCUGACAAAAAGAGAAUACUGUUUAGGUGUUCCUCCUACUGAUCUCUGCAUUUAUAUAUUGAAAAACAAAGCACUUUCUGCUUAUUCCAGUUAGAAGCUCACAGUGUGAUUACACUGAAUGUUUACAUAUUUUCAGUAAGACCUUCAAAUAACCAGGAAACAGGAGGGAAGUUCCCUAUUCUGUAGCAAAAGCAAACUGCCUUACAUUUAGUCCUACCAGGACACAAUUUAGUUUGUUCUGGGCAUAUGGAACUACUCCAGAUAGGCAUUUUCACUGCAUUCUUACUUAAAUUACUUGGUGUGUUUCUCUAGGUUACAAUUAAGUCAUCUUUUCCCACAAAGAAGUGUGUGUUUUGGAACCUUCUGUAAUGGGAGAACAUAAUGUUCUUUCUAAAAGGGUUUAUCUGCUGGAACAAAAUGAACUGCUUUGGUCUUUUUGGUCAAGAGCGAUGGACUUUGCUGAUGGUGACAACGUGGUGCUGCUGAGAUGACCCAGUGAUUUUCCUUGCAUUUGUAAGGAAACAGCAUAGUAACAGUGAAUCCAUCGUCUGGUCCAGCAGUGUGGUGAAACGAGGCCUUUUUGAAAAUAGAUGGUGGAGACAGGACCCAUCAUCUGGGGUACGUCUGUGCGUCACCUGUACUAGAGAAAGAUCAGGCAAGAUCAACUGCAUUCAGAAGGAAUUUAAAAUCAGAUUAUUUUAGUGCAAAUUAGAGGUUGGUUUUAAUUGAUGCUACCGAGGUGCUGUGAAGGAAAUGCAAUACCUGGGACACGUUAGAAGGCCCAUCCUUUUUUUCCCCCAGAGACCCAUGGUGUUUGAUGUGCAGUGAACAAGUUAACUUGCAACUUGUUCACCUUUGGAAGGUGAUUUAGAAAGUGAUGUUCUCUGCCUGUUCUUAGGCUCAGGGUGUUUCUCCUGAUGUGGAGAGAAAUUAUUUCAGAACUAGAGCCAGAGGCACUGCUGAUUCAUUUGCAUUAUCCGUCUUUUGCACCUGGAAUCAUACAGCACAAAGGAAAUUCCCCUGCUGUGCUCUGUCUCACCCUACUGAGACCUUCUAGAAAAUGUUCUUAGAAAAUAAGUCUGCUUUCUGUUGUGACCCAAAGGAAUUCAUAGCUUAUUGCUGAAGGGCUUGAAUGUAGCAGCGUUUCCUUGCAUUGCAGGAAAAAAACCAACAUCUUGAAGUCUUCACUAAAGUCUCUACCAAACAAACAGUAACGUCCUCUAUGUUCAGCACCUUGUAUUUGAUCUACGUAGAUACAUAGGUGCGAUGCUCAAAGGACAUCAGAUGCUGCAUCCACCUGUUUAAAGCGAGGCCCUUCAGGCUAAUGUAGUCAGGACAGGAAGGAAAUUAAUUAAAGAAAAGAGGGAUUAAUAGUUGUAGAAAAAAUAAUCUGAAAGUUAUGUUUUCUCUGUCCCUGCUUUAGUUAUGCCUACGUGUCUGUAUGGGAGAAGAGAAUUCACUGUUAACCCUCAUAUGAUCAGAGGGUAUGGUAUAGUUGUGCAGGAAGCACUUUGUGGCUUAUUCAAUUAUCUGCAGUAUGCACUUUUAGCUUGAUAAUGCUUGAAUUAUCUGCCUUCUCUGUGAGGGGAUUGCUGGACUCCGUUCUUCCAUUAGCUGAGUGAUUACCAGGCAAGCAGAGAGAAGGCUUGUAAUUUCCUUUUGGCAAAGGAUGGCCCAGAAGACCAAGUGGCAAUUAAGUGCCCGCUCUGCUUGAAGAGCAGCAGGAAAAGUUGAGAGAGAAACUGAGGAUGAAGCAAAGCAGAGCCUGUUUCUGAGCGUGGUCCACAGGAGGUAUGCCAGCAGCAACUCUGAGUCUAGGAACACAAAGGUGGGCAGCGUUGCUUCCAGGUCAAUUUUGGAAGGCAAAUAUUUCUUGCUUAAAAUCAAGAAAAGGUCACUAGCAGAAGUUGAAGCUUUUUUUUGACAAUUUGUGUUCCCUUUUGUCUCUGGUGCAGGAAGUGCCUGAGGGUGUUGCAGUAGACAAACUUCAGUCUGGAAUUUCCCCUUUUCAUUUCUUAUAUUCAACUUAAAAUGCAGUGGUGAAUAACGCUUAAAAACUCAAGGCGAUGCUAGCAAGAAGUUACUUGGAACUUUCCAGUGCAGUGAGUGCGUUGCCAGCCUUGGUCUCUAGCACCGCGCAGUGGUGUCAGAGUGUCAGAACUGUCUGAAGCAGUCUUUCCUGCUCAUGUAUUUGUACCCAGUGCUCUGGGCUACGGGCUGCACACACGCUGCAAAUCGAGACUGCUUUCCUAGCGUCUGUUUUAUGGCCGGGGAACUGACUGAUGAGAUGGUUGUGUUUUGUAUGUCACAACUUGUACUCUAAGUCAUGCUGCUCGUUUUCAGUUGUUUGCCGUCAGCUACAAACCAUGCCAAUGAAGGGGUGAAGUUGCAUCUCAGAGGCAUUGCUAAUCUUUAAUAGGUACGUAGUUGUAAUUGUAGAGUUUUGAAAACAGGCAUUCGUGGUUCUUUGUGCCAAGAAGUAUAACCAGAUGUGAAUACCUUUCCCUGUGUUAGGAUAUUAGUGCAUUGUAAUCAAAGGAAAAGGACACUUGCAUGAACAUCUGUAGGAGGGCUGGAGCCUGAGUAAGAGCAUAGAGCAGAAAUAGCAUAAAGCAUGAAGGGAAGAUUUCAGUAGGUCAUGGUUUGAAUACGGGGCCCUGUUAUCAGUGAAAUCUAUAGCAGCCUGAAGAGGAAUUGAAGUAAGAGAGCUGUGAUAGUUGUGGAUGAACUCUGAAGCUCAGCAGUAAGUGAGGAAAUAGGGAAAUCAGAGCAAACUGAAGGAAAUUGGCUGAGAAUUUGUAGUUCUGUAUCCCAUAUGUCAAACUCCAAAGGUUCUGUGGGAUUUGUCACAACUGACUCUUAAUUGUUCCAUGGAGGUAUGGCCUCUGCUGGUAGAUAACAUGUAUUGUCAUCUCCUUUGGUCUUAAACUUAACAAGCUCUGCUUGGAUGAAGUUGAAAUGGAUUAAAAACUGUUAAUGCCCUGAUAAAAUUUAUCUUGAUAAAAUGAGAGGCUAGUUGUGUGUUAGAUAUUCGCAUUACCUUUUACGAGAUGUAAGGUUUUUUGAGGAGCAUAUAGAUGUGAUUUAAGAGUACAAAGCUGUUAUUUAUUGCAAUCUGCAUGCAAUCCUGGGUAGGACUAAUAAUUGGCCUUUGGAUCACAGCUAUGUGGAAUGUUACAGAGGGGUAGAAGUGUCCUCCCUGUGCUCUUUGAUCUAAAGCGCUCUGCACCACAAAACUUUGUACUGUGCAGAAGGGGGGGCUUCAUCAGUUGUCUGAAAAAUACAUUUGAUCCUGCUUCUGUUCUGCUCCUGCUGCUGAAUAUUCUCAAAUUUCCCUUCUGGGAAGGUUCCAAACAUGGGGAGCAGUGUCCUACUGGUAUACAGCCCACUUAUGUCCUGAACCUCAAUCAUAUUUGCACACUUGUCUGUGAAUGCAAGUCAUUACCAUGUGUUUGGUGUGAUCGGGUUGUAGCGAUUCAGCUCUGAAAAGCUGUGUGUACAGUCUGCCAAAUGAAACACAAGCACACAAGUAUCUAUAGCAGUGGGCCUGGCCUUCUGAUUUUUAGAACAGAACAGUGUGGUAAGUUCUAGAAGAAACCAACUGCGCUGGCUGAACAACGUGUGAGUCACGUGUAAGAGCGGUUGUCCAAUAUGCCAAGAAAUCUGGGAGGCAGACUGUGUGUGUAUUUGUGCCUGGUCUCUUUUGAGUCAGUUAGAAAGAGAGAUCUUAAUGUUGUUGUAUGAUCUUAGUGAUGCUUUGCACACGAUGUUAAUUCUAAGUCCAUGCAUUAUUCCUGGAUAUAGGGUCAGUAUCUUUUUACAUAAUGUGAAAUUACAAAAGCAGUACAAUAACAGCCUUUUGCAUCUCACUUUCCCAUUUUGUACAGUGGAGUAAUUCACUGAAAUUAAAACCUCAAGAAGUCCAUGUUUCUUCAGCCAGAUGCCAAACCCUGAUGUGGUCUUGGGUCAGUGGUAGUUGGGUUUUGCUUUUGUUUUUCAUUUUUUAUUAUUAGCUGCUUUUAUGAGGCUGGGAGUUGGAUAAACAUUCACAACUUCAGAAGAGUCUACAGGUUGCUUUCCAGCUUGGAAGGGAAUCCCAUGCACAUAGAAGUAGAAAUAGACAAAUGGUUUCUUAUAAAGCAAUUUUCUAACAAAUGUAUUGUGUGCUAACCUUUACCCUCCAGUUUUCCUCUGUCCUUGUAGAGAUAAGGGGGUUCUUAGGGGCGAGCAGGGUGUGUGUGCAGGGUUAUCUGUUUGUUCAUCUCAUAGGCAGAUUUGUUUUUUUCCUCCAGGAAAACACGAUAAUAUAAACUGUGCCAACAUGUUUGAAACUGACAAACAGCUUCCAGAGCAAGACAGAAACAUACAUAUGUAGUCUGGAUUGAGUCCAAAGCAUCUUUACCUCUGAACUGGUUUAGGCGAGAGAGACAGGAUGUUCCACAGAGCACAAAGCCAUGUGAUUAAAGAUCAUGAACAAACACAGAGUAUAUUAUUAACAGAUCACCAGACCACAUUUCACGUUGGGUUUUCUGGCUGGUAACCCAUGGAGGUGACUCAGGAAGUUAACAGAGACACCAAGGUCUGGUCUGUUCCUGCAUAACGAAUAUUCAGAAAAGAUUCCUUGAAGCUGUCUUGUAUGGCAGUCUAAGAAAACUGUUCACACAGGUGCUGACAGUGGUGCAGAUAUACUGCUGUGGGACUCUGCUCGGUGUGCUGAGAGAACUUUUUGGUAAUUCCUAACAGAGGUUUUUCCUCGACUCAUAGUUCAGCAUGUGUUCAGCAAUCACUGAUUUUCAGGAUCACUGUUCUUUCCAGGCUCCUUGUGCUGUCGAUGUCUUUCAUUCCUUUCAGUGACCUUCUGUCUGUCCUAUCUUGUGGCUCCUUCCAUUUUUUUUGAUCCCUCCAGAUUCUGAUCAGCAGCAAAUCUAGGCCACGAUCUUUAUGGGCAAACUAUGAGACAUGAGGUGAGGAUGCAUGUAGUUUAAGGUAUGGGGUGAAGGGUAGGUGACGCUCGGAGACUCGUGAAGCACUUGUCUAGCAGUUGGCAAGCAAAUUUGCUGGGAAUUGUAAAACCUGGACCUUUUUUGUGGCUGCUUGUGGCAUUGGGAUAUUCUGCUCCUGGGAAUUUGCAUGCCUCUGACCCCAGGAAGUCUCAAGAUAUCCACAAAUUAUUAGUGUAUAAAUGUUUCUUAAGGAAAUUCAGCAGAAAAGUCUCAGAACCACUGCGUCCCAUCCUGUCAGUUUGUGUGCCCAUGCGUGGGGGCUUCUGCUCUUCCCUGUUAGUAAGAGGCUGAAGUGACAGCAAAUGUGGGUGAAUUCUGGUGUUUUACAGAAACUUCUGUGCUGUCUGGGCAGUGUGUGGGGAUCUGGGGAAGGGAGCAUGACCUGUGUGGAUUUCUUUUUUUCAUAGAAGGUUACUUUAUUACAAAUAGACACAUGUAACCUGGGUUUUCCUUUCCAGGGCUUCACAAAUGCUAUCAGGUUUCUUGUGUCUGUAUUUAGCACUUUUAGCCAAGCAAAGUGAUCUGAUUGUGGUUCGACUCCCCUCAGUGUUGCAGGCUCAUCAUAUUUAAUGUGCAUUUUAGCCAGGAGGGAAAGGAGCAUUUGGUGCUGUGGAAGCAGUGGGUGUUGGAUCCCUGACAUAACAUGACAGCUUUUCCUGUAUUGCCCACAGCAUCACUCAGGAAAUUGCCUCUCAAGAAGAUGCCAGCUCCCUCUCCCCUGGAGUCAAAGCAAAAUGUAUUUUAUUUUUUUUUUCUGACACUUCCUCACUCUUUAUUAACUCUUCUUUGUUAUUGCUGAAAUGGAGACAUCCCAAGGGCCUCUGAGCGUGGUGAUGCUUUAGAUGAAAGGAGACCUGCUGUGGAGCAGCAUGUACCAGAGCUCCAACGAGAGGCCCCUGGGUGCUCACCUAGGAGAGGGGGAGUGCAAGCAUGAAUCACAGGUGGUAGAACUGGGAAAGCAGCGGUGUCAGCACGGUUAUUGCUUGAAUCACUUUUAGCUAGCAGCUGGUCAGCUGGCAGAUGGUUGCAGCCUGAAGUGAAAGCUUAUAACUCACCAGCCAGCAAAUAGUCCCAAAAGUGAAUAUCUGCAUUUCAUCAGCAUUUUGUAUUGCCUUUGUGAAAAAUGGUAUUCAUUUGCAGGUAAUUGGUUGUGCUUCAGUUUCCUGUGGCUUCCUGUGCAUUCAUCUGUGUUAGGUCAGCUCAGCUUCUUUAUAAGCUUGGAAAUGUUCUUAAAAUCUAAUGAGUUUGCAGUGUGAAAGAGUACUAGUAGAUCUCAAACAGCCAGACCUGCGAGGCUUUCUACCAACCUGCUCUGCUCAGCAGUGGUGCAGCCACACCUGGAGUUCUGUGUCCAGAUGUGGACCCUCGAGUGCAAGGGAGACCUAGACAUACUGGAACAUCCAAAAAGACUACCAGGACAAUCAAGGGACUGGAGCACCUCUCCUCUGAGAUGGGGCUGAGAGCUGGGACUGUUCAGCCUGGGUGAGGCUCUGGAGAAGGGAGAUCUUAUCAAUGUCAGAGGAAGAGCGCAGAAGAUUUUACUAUUUUCUGUGGUGCCCACUGCCAGAACAAGAGGCACUGGGCAUAAACUGGAACACAAAAGGUUCAGUCUAAACAUCAAGAACCACUUCUUUACUGUGCAGGUGAUGGAGUAGUGGCAGAGGCUGCCCAGAGGGGUGUGGAGUCUCCCUGUGUUCGGUGUGAUAAGCACCACUUUAACGGAGUCUUUUCCACUUGCCUGAAGGAAAGCAGUAGCAUAAUGCUCAGUGAUGCAGCAGGUGUUUCAAAAACCCUGCCAGCACAGGGAUUACCCCUUUACCUCCAUAAGCAUGUAGUAGAAUUUCAGAAAAACAAAUGCCCGGGAAUAAACAUUAUUGGAGAGGCUUCCUCGGAUAGUGUUUUUGUGACCAGACUCUUAUGGUCUUGUUUCUAUGCUGUCCCUAAAACAUGAGAGCAAGGAGCAGAUCAGCAUAGGAAAUACAGCUGGAAGAUAUGCCUGUUUUGCUGUGGAGGAAUCAUUUACCUGUGCACUGCUCACUUGCUUCUUGUAUUCAGAUUUACCAUGUCCUACAUGGGAACAUUCCUCUACCAUAGCCAUAGCAUUCAGGAGGAGCUAAUUAAGCAAUUAUGUUAUCAGGUGAUGGGAGUCAAAAUCUCAUCUACGCAGCGCAUGGACUUAGCAGUCUGACUCAUUGUAGUUUAUGACUUACUAUUAUGUAAUCGGUGCGUUGCUCCAUAGGUGCAUGCUGCGCAAAACAGAAGUAAACAGCUGCUCUGCCAUCUGUGUUACACAUAUGGAGAUCAUGACUUCGGUCAGCUGGCCGUAGAGAAAGGUGACAACAGACUCCUGGUCAUCAGCUGUGAGUGCACGUACCACAGUUGUUUUUGUGGCAAUCGCUAAUGGCAGAAUCCACAGCAGUGCUGUCAGUAUAACACAAGACAAGGUGUUACAUAACACGGGAUACCCCAAAACCCUAUAUUGAAGUGUGGAAGAGGGUGCAGUGUGCUCAGCAAGACAAACUUUGUGCAGUGAGAUUAGAGCAGAGCGUAAUGCAGAAAAUGCCACUGUUGAAUUGAUCUGUUCUCAUAGUGGGAAUUCUCUGUAAAUGCUGGAACAGAGUGGCAAGAGAAUGACAAUGUAUUGGCUUGGUAGAACAAUGUGAUUUUUAAAUUGAAAGAGACACUAUAACUCUUGUUAGAGUAUGUUGUUUCCUUCCCUUUCAUUGACAGUACAACAGAAGGUAUUGGUUCAGGUUCAUGGACUAGAUUUAAUAGCAAUAUUUCUCCUUAGGUUUGAGAAGCUGUGCAGAGGUAGGUAUGGAUGACUCCCUCUGCCUCUCUUGUCUGAUAGGCAGUCAGUAUGGAUGGAAGAGGCUAAAUUAAAAACAGUAAAAGUAGACUUUCUGGUUUUUCUUGAUAGCUGGUAUAAAGGACAGAAGGGAGCAGUCUGUGCGUUGCAAUUAACAUCCAGUGCUAUUGCAGCUCAUCCUGUAAUGUGAUAUAGAUAUUAUCUCAGCACGGAAUUGAACACUGCACUGAGUCAGGAACACAGAGCAGUGUUGGGUUUUGAAGAAAGUAAUUGACCUUAGGGACCUGGUGAGUUUCUCAUUUCCUCUGUGGUAAACACAAGGAAGCGGGGGAGUACUUCCCAUAGGCUCCCGAAGUCAAUUUAAACAAGGUACACAGCCAAUUAUAAAACAAAGUCUCAAUAAAUGCAUAGUAGGAGGCAGGCACACCUCCCAUCUUCCUGCAAUGCCCUUGAUAUCAGUGCCACACUGACUUUCUUGCAUGAACGUGGAAUCCCCUGCAUGUGUGUGUAUACUGAGCCACUCCUGAGCCCAGCUGCUAGAGAACACAGCCUGCUGCAGCACCUCUGUGGUGCCACUUGCGUGCAGUGCCAUGCCUGUCCCACCAAGGGCAGUGCUGGUGUGACGGGCCUGCAUGGAUCAAUAGAUGGAUCAAUAUUAGCUGUGCUUGUAUGGAACCAGGUGUUGUAGGUCUGUCCUCUGUGUGCUGCCUGGCCAUCGCUCCCCCCAUCCCUCAGUACAGCAGUGGCCCCAUCCUUCCUUGUGCCACCCUGUGCUUGGCCUUCAGAAAAGCAGCGAUUGGAGGAUUUCUGAGACUCACUAACGAUGUGAACUCUGUUUUCCUUCUCCAGGAGAAGAUUAGAAGUCCAAAUUGCACAAAUAACUCCUGGUAGCCAAGAAAGCUUUGAUCUUGAUAAUGACUGGAUGCGAUGGCCGGAAGCUGUAGCUCACAGGAUUCAUACAAGAAACAAGGAAUCAAGCUGUUCAGGAAACGUGACAGGGAAGACAGUAAUUGCUUGUUUCAGUUUGGUAUAGCAGCUCUAGCUUAGACUGACAGAUUACUGAUAUUUGUUCAAUGGCAAUGUUCCAGUUUUUCACAAACCAAAGUGGUGCUUUGUUAAAAAGCCAGCUUGUUGAAAGUAAUGUCCACCAGCUUUUACUGUGCCUUGCUUUGUCUAUUUGUCAGCAGUGGGGAUAUUUCUGCUUUUUAAAGCAUCUUUAAACAUAUAAUUGCAUUAAUUAAUGUAGGCAGUUUAGGAGUCUGGUGGAAUCCACGCUCAGGAACUGCUUAAUAGCUCAGAUAAAAGUCCUAUGACAGCAUGCUAGGGUUAGACAUGCAGGUGGUGUGUAAACUGGCUUGUGUGUAACUUCUUUAUGUUCUCACAUUGUAUUCACCUCCCACUGACUUCCUUGAACCCACUCAGUUGACAUGUAAGGGAAGCCAGGGUGGUGUAAUUUACAUGGUAAACUCUCACCAUAUAAGCAUUAAGAGCAUAUAAUUGAAAUGCUUGUUUAAACUUGUUGUUUUGCUUUUUUUCUGUCAUACUUUGUUGAACACAGUGCAAAUACAGCAUGAGCCACAGACCUUGCUGACUUGACUGUGUGUUUACAAUAAUAUAAACUUCUUCAGUGUAGUACAUGUGGAAAGGAGACUUCAUUUGGAUUUGGCAAUGGAACAAAAGCAUUCGCGUAUCUGGACUGAAUCUCGUAAAAUCACUGAGCAUCCUGGGCUGGGAAGAACCAUGAGGAUCACAGAGUCCAACUCCCGGCUCCACACAGGACAACCUAAGAACGAAGCCAGCCUCUCAGCCAUGAUGAUUCCACCAUCUGCAACACCUCCUGUCAGCGAUGCUGCACUCUUGCCAAGUGUGGCUUCUCAGGAAACGUGGAGGUCACAGGUUCCAGGCUAUCCUGGGUCAGUCACACAGCACCUAAGUCACCGGGCUAAUAACUUCAAGAGACAUCCGAAAAGGAGAAAAUUCAUCCGCCCUUCGCCACCGCCACCACCAAAUACUCCGUGUCCUACUGACUUGAUUGGCUUUGGGGAUCUCCAGCCUCAGAGAUCUUUCCUGGAACUCCUGUUUAAUGGGUGUAUUCUCUUUGGGCUUGAGUUUAGCUAUGCCAUGGAAACAGCCUAUGUUACACCUGUGUUGCUUCAGAUGGGGCUGCCAGACCAGCUGUACGGAAUGGUGUGGUUCAUCAGCCCCAUACUAGGGUUCCUGCUGCAGCCUUUUCUGGGAGCCUGGAGUGACAGAUGCACAUCAAGAUUUGGCAGGAGAAGACCUUUCAUUCUGGUCUUAGCAGUAGGUGCAUUGCUCGGGCUCUCGCUUAUGCUGAAUGGCAGAGAUAUUGGGAGUGCCUUGUCUGACACUGUGAAUAACCACAAAUGGGGGAUUGUUCUUACAGUCUGUGGUGUUGUCCUCAUGGACUUCAGUGCAGAUUCAGCAGACAAUCCCAGCCAUGCCUAUAUGAUGGAUGUAUGCAGCCCAGUGGAUCAAGACAGGGGCCUCAACAUCCAUGCUUUGUUAGCAGGUCUUGGAGGUGGCUUUGGUUAUGUUAUUGGAGGAAUACAUUGGGAUAAAACCAGUUUUGGAAAAGCUGUGGGAGGGCAACUGCGUGUCAUCUAUGUCUUCACAUCAAUAAUACUGACUAUCACUACUGUGCUGACUCUAAUUAGCAUUCCAGAAAGACCCCUAGGGUCCUUUAGCAGGAAGAAAAAGGUGAUGAAGAGUCCAAGUCUUCCUCUCCCUCCUUCUCCACCUCUCUUUGAAGAGGGUGUAAGUGAAAACUUUGCUUCUCGUAACUCAGCUCACUUAUAUGCAAGUUUUACAAGCCCCGUUUCUCCCCUCAGCCCACUCACACCUAAGUAUGGCAGUUUUGUCAGCAGAGACAAUUCCUUGACAGGAAUUAACGAAUUUGCAUCGUCAUUUGGGACUUCAAAUAUUGACAGUGUGCUUAUAGACUGUUUUACAGGUGGGCACAGUAGUUACUUAGCACUUCCAUCUAGCUUGCCCAGGCAGCCUGUCAGUGUCAGCUUUCCUCGGGUGCCAGAUGGUUGUUACCAACAAGAAAAUGGAAUUCUGGAGCAAGGGGAGAGGAGCAUAACUGCGGGUCCCGAUGGAGAGGCACUGAGGGUGGGCUCCUUGGAUGCCAUAAAGCCACGGUCGUCGGGCAUCCUGAAAAGACCUCAGAGCUUGGCCAUUCCAGAUAUCGUAACAGGACAUUGUCCAGACAGUAGCAGAAGAAGAAAUGUAACUUUCAGCCAACAGGUUGCUAAUAUCCUGCUGGAUGGUGUUAAGUAUGAGAGUGAGUUGAAUGGAUCAGGUGAGACCUCCGAGCAAUCACUCUCCAUGAGACUUCUUUGCUCAACCAUCUGCCACAUGCCCAGGGCUCUUCGUAACCUCUGCAUCAACCACUUCCUAGGAUGGCUCUCAUUCGAGGGGAUGUUGCUCUUCUACACUGACUUCAUGGGAGAAGUAGUGUUUGAAGGGAAUCCAAAAGCCCCUCACAACUCAGUUGAGUAUCAGAAGUACAACGCUGGGGUCACCAUGGGCUGCUGGGGAAUGUGCAUCUAUGCAUUCAGUGCUGCUUUCUAUUCAGCUGCACUGGAGAAGCUGGAGGAGCGGUUCAGCACACGGACGCUGUACUUCAUUGCAUAUUUGGCCUUUGGGCUGGGCACAGGGCUGGCCACGCUCUCCAGAAACAUCUAUGUAGUCCUGUCACUGUGCACAACCUAUGGCAUUCUCUUUGCCACGCUCUGCACGCUGCCCUACUCCCUACUCUGCGACUACUACCAGAGCUGUGAGUUUGCAGGCUCGCACACGGAGGGCACACGGCGUGGGAUGGGUGUUGACAUCUCCCUGCUCAGCUGCCAGUACUUCUUGGCGCAGAUCCUGGUGGCCCUGGCCAUGGGACCACUGACGACAGCUGUGGGCAGCGCCAGCGGCACCAUGUACUUUGCCAGCCUGGUGUCCUUCCUGGGCUGCCUCUUCUCCUCUCUCUGUGUCAUCUAUGAGCCAACCCUGUCUGCUGAGGAGCUGCCACCCAACGAGGAGCGGAGCCCGCUCCUUCCCUAUGUGCAGGACCAAUAAAUGGGAGAAGCUGCUGCAUCCUUGGCUACCUCACUUGCACCAUUCUUGUCCUCAACCGUCAUGGACUUGUGGUCACAGCAGUGGGAACCAUUGGUGGCAGUGUGGGACCUUCCCUCCAACUGCCAUACAGUGCCAUUUUUCCUCGGGGGAACAAUGUUUCUUCGACCGGAGGUGGGGGACCCAGAAGACCAGUGCUCAGGCAGGUGGAUCCCGAUUCCUCGGGUGGCAGUGAGCUGUGGGGCUCCAUUGCUGUGGGAGGACCAGGGCCACGGUGUGCCACCAGCUUUGCGAGCAGAAGUUGCCUGGCCCUUGGUUAUUGAGGGCUACAACUCCUACUCCCUACUCAGGGAGCACUGAGGGAACACAUGGGUCUCACCUUCCGCAUGUUAGACCUGACCCUGACCUGGCUUUUCAGAACUUCGGAGCAUAAUGCAAGUACUCUGAAGGCCCAUGGCUGGGCUUCCGUGUGCACCGAGCUCCAGCUAGCAGAACUGCUCCAAGGAGCUGCUGUGGGAGGCGACUGGCUCCAAACCCUGAUCUGUAAGUUCUGACUGUGGUCCACAGUGAUGGUUCCUGAUCUGCGCAUACUCCUACGUUAGGCUUUGACACUGUAAUGGCUUAUGUUGAGUUAGCAGGAUGGGUAGGAGGGGGUUUUGUGAGCCAAGUUUCCUUGGGUAGAAGUUUAUUCUCCCAAUUAGGUUAAGAAUAUAAGAGAAAUCAUUUAUGUGAAAGCCAGAAGCCACUGGCACAUCAUCCGUAUGUUUCGUACAGUUGGUACAACUGACGUUUUAAAAUCUGCUUAGGAAGUAGUGAUUUGUCAGCUGGAGCUACACCUGCAUACCUCUGUGAAACUGCUGAGACUUAUUACUUGGACUGGAGGUGUUUUGCUACCUGUGGAAACUUAAUUAUUCUGGCUAUGGAAGGUAGUAAAUGCCUGAGAUCUUACACAAUUUGCAGGUAAUCUCUACAGUCUUUCAAUUGAAGAACAAAAGUGAAAACAUGUAAGCUAGAACCACUUAUAGGAUUCUUGUCAGUCUGCGUUCAUAUUCAAGUAGGAUGCAAAAGUUCCCCAUGGCAGAAGAGCAUUCUAGUGCUUAGGAGUACUGUGCAGGCACCCCUUUAGAGGCUCUUUUUGUUCUUAUCUAAUAGGGACAGAGGCAGCAGUUUUUCUGGAAAUCCAUUCCUUUUUCAGUGAGUUUUCUUGACUGUUCACCUAAGUUUAUUUUUAUGCGUGUUGUGCAAUAUCAAGAUGAAAUAACUUGCAUAAUCUUUAGCUGUUGUGGUGCACUAUAGUGCUUAAAACAAUGUACAGUGUGUAAGAACUUUUCAUUUUUACUAUCAGCUCCCCGCUUUUUUUUGUGAUCAGUUCUAUACUAUUUGGUGUUUACUUCCCUGGAGGAGCGCUUCUGAAGUUAUGAAGCCAAGCAUUCAGAGACAGAGGGUGUCAGACUGAUGACUGUUCACCUUGACCCCAUCUAUUCUGGCUUGGAAAGCAUGGCUCCCUGUCACACCUGCAGGAACACCUGUGUCAUGCAGCUUUCAUUAUGGGACAUCUUAUCCCAGGAAUGUUUGGGAUGAAACUGGACCUGGUGUAUGAGCAGCACGUUUGGCACUUCUGAGUGCCUCAUUUCCAACAAUCUAAAGAGAUGACUGUGGAAAUUUUUUUGGUCUGCUGUGUAACCUUCAAUUCUUUGUCUUAGCAAACUUAUGAACUCAAAAAUGGUCGUUUUGUUCCUAUUGAAGGGGUGUUUAGUUCUCAAAAUGUUUUCUCCUUCUAAGUUUUGUAGACGGUAUUGUUGCACUGAGUGGAUUGUGAACGCUUUCCUUUUCUACAUAGCUGGGAUUUCAGAUGAUUUCGUUGCAAACAAGGAUGUUUAAAGAGAAAAACAGCAGAAGGGAAAAAAAAAAAUCAAUGUAUUUAUCAAGCUGUAUGUCAAUAUGUAUAUAUCAUUGUAUUUUCCAGCACUGGACAGGCUCCUCAGAGCAGUGGUCACAGCCCAACUGAGGGAGUUCAACAAGCAGCUGGACAGUGCUCUCAGACAAAAUGUUUGAAUUUCAGGUGGUGCUGUGCAGAGCCAAGGGUUGGACUGAAGGAUCCUUGUGGGUUUCUUCCAACCUGGGAUAUUCUGUUAUGUUUGAUGGUCACGUUUGUUGCUCCUCCCUCUGUAAAUAAGAGUAGGAAAUACAUCUACAUACAGUUAUAAAACUAUUGCUAUGCUGAAGUGCAUUGCACAGUUGAAUAUAUGUAACAUUUUCUAUUUUAAACUCAACAUCAGUGUGUCUUAAUUUGGGUAUGCAUUAGUUGUUGGUGUCCAUGAUGCAGAAUUCCUUGGAAGUUGCACUAAAUCCAUAAAAAAAAAAAAAAAAACAACAAAACCAGGAAUUACUUAUUUGCUUGUUCUCCUCCUUUGUCAUACAUGCUGUGUUUUACAGAGAUUACUGUGUGGUCACUGCUGAACUGAGCUGCAAUACGAUGUUUACUUUUUGGAAUGUACUCUUUAAAUUGUCUAAAUCUGUGGGCUGCUGGUAGAAGGAAGAGGGAAGAGUUGAGGGAAGAAAGCGAUAUCAUGCUGUGCCAUAGUUUAGACUUUAUAAAGUUUAAUGAUAAUGACUUAAUAAAAAUCAAAGGUUGCUUAAUGGAAGUGAUUUGUGGGUGCUCAUAUCUGUAUUUAUAUGACACGUACAGAAGAAGGGAAAAUGGGGACAAGGAAUAAGUGCCUAAUGAGUUGUCUCAUGUUUGUGAUGAAGCUAGAUGUAACCAUUUCAGUUUAUCCGUAGUUCAUUCAACUUCUGCCAUGCCUCAAAAGAGAGACCCAAAUAACUGAAACUUCUGCUGAAUCUCUAAAAGAAGUAAAGAUAUUUUCCAGGAGAAAAAAAAAAA